AUUGAACGCUGGCGGCAUGCUUUACACAUGCAAGUCGAACGGUAACAGGUUAAGCUGACGAGUGGCGAACGGGUGAGUAAUGCAUCGGAACGUGCCCGAUCGUGGGGGAUAACGCAGCGAAAGCUGCGCUAAUACCGCAUACGAUCUGAGGAUGAAAGCGGGGGACCGUAAGGCCUCGCGCGAUCGGAGCGGCCGAUGUCAGAUUAGGUAGUUGGUGGGGUAAAGGCUCACCAAGCCGACGAUCUGUAGCUGGGCUGAGAGGACGAUCAGCCACACUGGGACUGGGACACGGCCCAGACUCCUACGGGAGGCAGCAGUGGGGAAUAUUGGACAAUGGGGGAAACCCUGAUCCAGCGACGCCGCGUGGGUGAAGAAGGCCUGCGGGUUGUAAAGCCCUUUCGGUAGGGACGAAAGCUCUCGACCUAACACGUCGGGAGGUUGACUUAACCUACAAAAGAAGCACCGGCUAACUCUGUGCCAGCCGCCGCAGUAA
rnacentral:rRNA from 1 species